AUUGAACGCUGGCGGCAUGCUUUACACAUGCAAGUCGAACGGUAACAGGGUGCUUGCACCGCUGACGAGUGGCGAACGGGUGAGUAAUGCGUCGGAACGUGCCGAGUAGUGGGGGAUAACGCAGCGAAAGUUGUGCUAAUACCGCAUACGUACUGAGGCGGAAAGUGGGGGACCUUCGGGCCUCACGCUAUUCGGACGGCCGACGUCUGAUUAGCUAGUAGGUGAGGUAAAGGCUCACCUAGGCGACGAUCAGUAGCGGGUCUGAGAGGAUGAUCCGCCACACUGGGACUGAGACACGGCCCAGACUCCUACGGGAGGCAGCAGUGGGGAAUUUUGGACAAUGGGCGAAAGCCUGAUCCAGCCAUGCCGCGUGUCUGAAGAAGGCCUUCGGGUUGUAAAGGACUUUUGUCAGGGAGGAAAUCCCUAGUGCUAAUAACACUGGGGGAUGACAGUACCUGAAGAAUAAGCACCGGCUAACUACGUGCCAGCCGCCGCCGUAA
rnacentral:rRNA from 1 species